GGGUGACAAGGUGGGGGUCCGGCAGCUCUCCAAGCAGGGAACCCGUGAGGUGCAGUCAAUCCAAACAGGGCUCAUUGAGGACACGGCCUCCAUCUUCCCUGCUCCUUAGGCAGGGCUGGGAGCACCUGGAGGCCACCGAACCGCCUGGGACAAGGUUGAGUCACAGCCAAGCUAUGGCCUGAACCCAGCUUGCCUUGUCCUGGAGGUCACGCCUGGCCCAGCAGCUGCGCGGGGGGACCCGCA